UUCGCCGCGAAGCCGACUUUUCCCUUUUUUUUUACUUCUCUUUUCUAUUUUAUACAGAUACCAUCUACGUCUCUCUCACUCGUUCUCGAUGCUUGUAUUUAAUUAAGAAUAACUCCUACAGCCGUAUUCAUGCACAAGAGUUUCCUUUCCAACGUGAGAAAAUCCUUCGCGCACGAUAUCCUUCGAAGAGUUUUGAAAACUCGUAGGAAAAUACGUUGCCACCGUAAUACGAACGAUUCUUGCCGUCCUGAACGGAAAUACUGAAACAGUAUAGCCCGUAUUCAGAACUCGCUUUUAGUGCUAAUAGUACGCUUUUAAAUUUUUUCCUAGUGACUUUUAACUACAAGCGUCUCUGUUAGUGACUUUAAGAGCGAGUUGUUAAUACGGACUUAUGUGUGUAUGUACCUUGCGAGACUAGAAGUCCAGGCGCAGUCUAGCCCGAUGUUAGUAAGAUGAAUAUUGUCGAAGUUUAGGCUACUUUGCGAUAAUAAAAAAUAUAUAUUGUCAAAGAAUAAUAUUUGCUUCGUGUUCCAGUCGACUCCCAGUGAUACGAUCAGCGCCAUCCUCGAAUUUCCGUAUGACGACUCGCCGUCGGCAAAUCUAGGACUUCCGCACGUGCUACGGGGCAUUGGUGUUACGACAAUCCAUAGUCAAGUGUCUACCAUUAGCAGACUGCCAGAUGACGAUGAUAAUCACUCGUACCGUAGAACGAGGAUCGGGUUUAUAGGGUACAGAGAUCAUCGGUUUGCCACUGGGGUUUGACAUAUAACCUACAACACAUAGACUACCUAGAGACAGCGAAGCGACAAGAUACGUGGCUGCUCAGUGUUUACGUACAGAGUACGUCCGUAUGUACAUGGAGACAGGGGCUCACAGGUUAGCCUCGGCCCACAUUGGCAUAACACUUUCACUGACGUAACACUUCACUCUAAACUGUUGCGUUGCCCGUGGUUGGGCCCUCUCCUUGUCCUCCUCAUCGCCGCCCGUCGCCAAACCACAAUCCGUUUCUCUCGCUUCCUACCUCCCGAGUCCACCGUCGUCUUCCCAGUCCCGUAUCGGGGCUAAUCGCAGUCGUUUACUCUUCCGUAGGGACUAAUCGUGAAAAACAGCUCGAAUCCCUUUUACAUUACUCGCAGAGGUUACGUUGGCAAACUCUCUUACGACUGUCAAUAAAAUAAUUCUUUAUGGUUACGCUCCUCGGAGAUACGAAGUUAGUGUAUAGGGAUCGCCGCUAGGUGGAACCACUAGCCAUACCUGGGUAACCCGCGUUACGUGGAAUAGAGGAAGUUUCGUUGGCGCCUGAGAGACAUAGCCUCAAUCUCCAAUUGAGGGACUGAUCGCCGGCUUAUGGUGUGUAUAUAAGGAAACUACCGAUCGCUCAGUCGACUCUCUUGCGAAACUGUUUACUCGAAGGUAUCAUACUUUUGCUGAAGUACAGGUCCAGGUAUAUUAAUUGUAUCGUACCUUUUUCCCUCGUGCCAACCAUACUAUCCAGAGCACGUAUAACGAUAUUAAAAUAUAGGAAAGAUAAACAGUCGCUAAUACGAGGUACCGACUGGAUAUAACAGUUUAUUCUAUGACGCCAUCUUGGAUAUACACGUGACUUACGUGCAUUGCGCGUAUCGUACUGAAAGAUAUUUUUCUCACGGAAAUAUAUACCGACAAGUGUCCUUCGAUUUUAAUUGCCGAUCGACUCCAGCCCAGCAGUAUGAAAUAAACGGAGGUUAGGAUAUCGAUCUUCGUAUUGACUAACAGGAAUGUAAUUAUCCAUCUCGACACCUCGUACACGUAUGCAGCUCAGAAUCGAGAUCCAGAUAAACACGGCACGGACUUAUCCGAAUUUCGGCAAAGUUACUCGAGGCUAAUUGUUCCUCGGGGUUAUUAUAAAUUUAACUCGUUAUUCCUACGGCGAAUGGGGAAAAGGGGACACGAGCAUGAGACCGGGGAGAGGCAGCCCUUUUUCCGGCGAGCGGCAAAGGGAUGAAACCGAAAGAGGACCAAGCAAGGAAGUCUUCGGUAUAAACAAGGAGUCGUCGGUAGG